rnacentral:rRNA from 1 species
ACAGGGAUUGCCCCAGUAACGGCGAGUGAAGCGGCAACAGCUCAAAUUUGAAAUCUGGCCUCGGCCCGAGUUGUAAUUUGCAGAGGAUGCUUCGGGCGCGGUGCCUUCCGAGUUCCCUGGAACGGGACGCCAUAGAGGGUGAGAGCCCCGUAUGGUUGGACGCCUAGCCUGUGUGAAGCUCCUUCGACGAGUCGAGUAGUUUGGGAAUGCUGCUCAAAAUGGGAGGUAUAUCUCUUCUAAAGCUAAAUACCGGCCAGAGACCGAUAGCGCACAAGUAGAGUGAUCGAAAGAUGAAAAGCACCUUGAAAAGGGGGUUAAACAGCACGUGAAAUUGUUGAAAGGGAAGGGCCCAUGACCAGACUUGUGUCCGGCGGAUCACCCAGCGUUCUCGCUGGGGCACUCCGCCGGGUCCAGGCCAGCAUCGGUUCUCGCCGGGGGAUAAAGGCUCUGGGAACGUAGCUCCUCCGGGAGUGUUAUAGCCCUCUGCGUAAUACCCUGGCGGGGACCGAGGUACGCGCUCCGCAAGGAUGCUGGCGUAAUGGUCAUCAGCCACCCGUCUUGAAACACGGAUCAAGGAGUCGUCCAUUAGAGCGAGCGUUUGGGUGUCAAACCCGCACGCGUAAUGAAAGUGAACGUAGGUGAGAGCUUCGGCGCAUCAUCGACCGAUCCUGAUGUCCUCGGAUGGAUUUGAGUAUGAGUUUUACUGGACGGACCCGAAAGAUGGUGAACUAUGCCUGUAUAGGGUGAAGCCAGAGGAAACUCUGGUGGAGGCUCGCAGCGGUUCUGACGUGCAAAUCGAUCGUCAAAUAUGGGCAUGGGGGCGAAAGACUAAUCGAACCAUCUAGUAGCUGGUUACC